GACGAACGCUGGCGGCGUGCUUAACACAUGCAAGUCGAACGGUGAAGCGCCUUCCUUUUUGGCUGGUGUGGAUGAGUGGCGGACGGGUGAGUAACACGUGAGUAACCUGCCCCCUUCUUCUGGAUAACCGCAUGAAAGUGUGGCUAAUACGGGAUAUUCCGUGUCUGUGGCAUGAUGGGUCUGGGAAAGAUUUUGUUUCGGUGGGGGAUGGGCUCGCGGCCUAUCAGGUUGUUGGUGGGGUGCCGGCCUACCAAGGCGGUGACGGGUAGCCGGCCUGAGAGGGUGGGCGAUCACAGUGGGACUGAGACACGGACCAGCCUCCGACGGGAGGCAGCAGUGGGGAAUAUUGCACAAUGGGAGCAAGGCUGAUGCAGCGACGCCGGGUGGGGGAAGGAGUCCUUCGGGUUGUGAACCUCUGUCGCCAGUGAAGCAGGCCUGCCUAGUUUGUGGGUGGGUUGACGGUAGCUGGAUAAGAAGCGCCGGCUAACUACGUG
rnacentral:rRNA from 1 species